ACGACCUUACUUGAACAGGAUCUGUUCUAUAGGUUCGUACGAUCGUGUCCUUGAUUGCAAAGGAGACGGGCAACACAGUCUGGUGGAUGACGGUAACCUCGGGAUUCGAGCGUGAUUAACGGUGGCGAUCUUUCGGAGAUCGGUACUAUCGAGGAUCGUGCCUGUCUCUUGUUCGCAGGGGAUGGGGUGGUCCCGAGGUUGUCUGACAGAAC